GGGCCCGCACAAGCAGUGGAGCAUGUGGUUUAAUUCGAAGCAACGCGCAGAACCUUACCAGGGUUUGACAUCCUGCGAAUCUCUUGGAAACAGGAGAGUGCCUUCGGGAACGCAGUGACAGGUGGUGCAUGGCUGUCGUCAGCUCGUGUCGUGAGAUGUUGGGUUAAGUCCCGCAACGAGCGCAACCCACGUCUUUAGUUGCCAGCAUUUAGUUGGGCACUCUAGAGAGACUGCCGGUGAUAAACCGGAGGAAGGUGUGGAUGACGUCAAGUCAUCAUGCCCCUUACAUCCUGGGCUACACACGUACUACAAUGGCAAGUACAGACGGCCGCUAACCCGCGAGGGGGAG
rnacentral:rRNA from 1 species